rnacentral:rRNA from 1 species
GGGAAUAUUGGACAAUGGGGGAAACCCUGAUCCAGCAAUGCCGCGUGUGUGAAGAAGGUCUUCGGAUUGUAAAGCACUUUCGACGGGGACGAUGAUGACGGUACCCGUAGAAGAAGCCCCGGCUAACUUCGUGCCAGCAGCCGCGGUAAUACGAAGGGGGCUAGCGUUGCUCGGAAUGACUGGGCGUAAAGGGCGCGUAGGCGGAUUGAUCAGUCAGAUGUGAAAUUCCUGGGCUUAACCUGGGGGCUGCAUUUGAGACGGUUGAUCUAGAGUGUGAAAGAGGGUCGUGGAAUUCCCAGUGUAGAGGUGAAAUUCGUAGAUAUUGGGAAGAACACCGGUGGCGAAGGCGGCGACCUGGUUCAUUACUGACGCUGAGGCGCGAAAGCGUGGGGAGCAAACA